AGCCCUUGACAUCCUCGGAACUUUCCAGAGAUGGAUUGGUGCCUUCGGGAACCGAGUGACAGGUGCUGCAUGGCUGUCGUCAGCUCGUGUCGUGAGAUGUUGGGUUAAGUCCCGCAACGAGCGCAACCCUUAUCCUUAGUUGCCAGCGAGUAAUGUCGGGAACUCUAAGGAGACUGCCGGUGAUAAACCGGAGGAAGGUGGGGAUGACGUCAGCCUAUCGAGA
rnacentral:misc_RNA from 1 species